UGGGGAAUAUUGGACAAUGUGCGCAAGCCUGAUCCAGCCAUGCCGCGUGAGUGAUGAAGGCCCUAGGGUUGUAAAGCUCUUUCACCGGUGAAGAUAAUGACGGUAACCGGAGAAGAAGCCCCGGCUAACUUCGUGCCAGCAGCCGCGGUAAUACGAAGGGGGCUAGCGUUGUUCGGAUUUACUGGGCGUAAAGCGCACGUAGGCGGACUAUUAAGUCAGGGGUGAAAUCCCGGGGCUCAACCCCGGAACUGCCUUUGAUACUGGUAGUCUUGAGUUCGAGAGAGGUGAGUGGAAUUCCGAGUGUAGAGGUGAAAUUCGUAGAUAUUCGGAGGAACACCAGUGGCGAAGGCGGCUCACUGGCUAGAUACUGACGCUGAGGUGCGAAAGCGUGGGGAGCAAACAGG
rnacentral:rRNA from 1 species